rnacentral:rRNA from 1 species
UACGUAGGGCGCAAGCGUUGUUCGGAAUUACUGGGCGUAAAGGGCUCGUAGGUUGCCAACUAAGUCAGACGUGAAAUCCCUCGGCUUAACCGGGGAACUGCGUCUGAUACUGGAUGGCUUGAGUUUGGGAGAGGGACGCGGAAUUCCAGGUGUAGCGGUGAAAUGCGUAGAUAUCUGGAGGAACACCGGUGGCGAAGGCGGCGUCCUGGACCAACACUGACACUGAGGAGCGAAAGCCAGGGGAGCAAACGGG